UACGGGGGGGGCAAGCGUUGUUCGGAAUUACUGGGCGUAAAGGGCUCGUAGGUGGCCAACUAAGUCAGACGUGAAAUCCCUCGGCUUAACCGGGGAACUGCGUCUGAUACUGGAUGGCUUGAAUCCGGGAGAGGGAUGCGGAAUUCCAGGUGUAGCGGUGAAAUGCGUAGAUAUCUGGAGGAACACCGGUGGCGAAGGCGGCAUCCUGGACCGGCAUUGACGCUGAGGAGCGAAAGCGUGGGGAGCAAACAGG
rnacentral:rRNA from 1 species